rnacentral:lncRNA from 1 species
CAGGUCUUUACCUAAAUAGCUGCAGCAGGGAAUGGGAAUGCUUCUGUGCCCUCAUUUCCCAACUGAGUUUCUAUUUGUGCUCUGCUUUCUCCCAUCUCCACCCCUUUUAUGAAUUGAGGGGGAGAAAUCCAGACCAUGCAGCCUGGUAAAAAGCCUUUUAGAAGGAAAAAUGGCUGCCUGGUAUCUUGAAGAUUUCAAAGUGGUUUCCUUGGAUUAACAGAAAUAUUCUGAACUCUACAAAGAAAACCAAAUCCUUUUCUGGGAACAGAAUUCUUCGACAUCCCAUCUCUGCUCAUCAGGGCACUUCCAUUCCAUCUGAUGAUGAACAAUAUAUGCCACCCAACAGUACAGAGACACACAUCUCAGAACCAGCAAUGAUAUUUCCAUUAGACACAGAACCAGCUCG